UAAACUCUGUGUGUCUGAAACAGUUUAUCCAGUUACAUAAAGAAAAGACUCUCAGACUGGGAAUGUUGCAUUCAGGAGGUUGACUGAGAAGUCAGGUUAUGACAAAGUAAACUGCUUCAGACAUGAAGGGGGAGGCCAGCUUUGUUGCUCUUUAAAUUUAUUUUGAUGUAUUUGAUUGUUUUACUCUUUAUGUUUAUUUGUGACACAGUAACCAAUGUUGUUUUCAAUUUCAUAACUUUUAUGUUAUCUUUACCCAUUUGUCUUUGUUUUGGCUGUAAAAGACUUAAAUGACUUGAAUUUUUUUUUUUAAAGUUUUUUUUUCGUGUUUGUUUUCUUGCUCUGUUUCUCUCUGACUCCUCACACACCUGAACCACAAUAGACUACAAGCUAGUCUCGAUUAUUCUCUCCAGUUUGACUUCCUGUUCUUUCAUCUUCAGUAUUAAACCUUAAACUAGUUUGAGCAGAUCUAUUUGUACUGAACUUUUUUCUCUCUUUUUGCUGAAUUUAAAAAGAUAGAAGCAGAUGUUACGUGAGCUCUGCUGUUCAGUUUCAACCCUGUGUCACUGUUCUGGUGUGUGCUGGGAGGCGGAGCUUCAUGGCUGAGUCCUGGUUGUAAUUUUCAUAUAAUCUGCAUCCUGCAGAAUGCUUGAAUAACUAAUAAGCUGGUUAAGAGUGAACUUCUUUAAACCAGUCCAGUGAGAAUGAGAACAAGACAGAGCAAAUAAAAGCUGAUUGAAGGUAAAAAAGCAGAGAGAAAAAAAGACAAAACAUAACUUAUAAGAAAAAAAACUGCAAAUGUAAACUGAUUUUAACAGAAACCAAGAAAAAAAGACUUUUAUUCAGUCACUGGUUCCUUUUCAUUUUCAUUUUAAAUGUUUCAAUGCCAGUUUUGUUUUUUCUUUUUUCGUUUUUUUUGAGUACCAAAAUCAGGUGUCACCUUUCUUUAUGCAUAGACAAAAACUAAAGUGCAACACUGCCACCUACUGGUGCAGAGGCUACAGAACUGUUGGACAGAUGAGAAAGGAGAGAGUGCAGCAGGAUGCUUAUGAUGCGUGGUAAAAGAACAAUUUUUUACCCCUCAAUAGCAAAAAGCUGAUGGAGUAUUGUUGUCAGCCUGCUGGAUGUUAAAGCCUCUGUCACAUGAGGAGGAUACAGAGCCAUUUUCCAACUGCUAUCAGGCUGAUGAGUAAACUGUGACCUGAUUAUUUAUCAUUAUAUCGACAGACGUGUUCAUUUUGGUGUUUUGCACAUAUAUAAAAUAUGCUGUUUUAUUGUGUUUCUUUUAUUGUGAUCAGCUAAUUUAGAGUUUUGCAAAACAAAUGUUUUUCACCUAUUUUUAACUGUUGCAAAUCCAUCAAUAAAGCUGAAUGUGAAUGAGUGGAUUCCCA
rnacentral:lncRNA from 1 species